rnacentral:rRNA from 1 species
GACGAACGCUGGCGGCGUGCUUAACACAUGCAAGUCGAACGAGAGCGUAGAGAAAGCUUGCUUUUUCUACAAUCUAGUGGCAAACGGGUGAGUAACGCGUAAACAACCUGCCCUACGGAUGGGGACAACAGCUGGAAACGGCUGCUAAUACCGAAUACGUUCCGAAAGUCGCAUGACUAUCGGAAGAACGGAUGGCCUCUAUUUAUAAGCUAUCGCCUGAGGAGGGUUUUGCGUCUGAUUAGCUAGGUUGAGGGGUAACGGCCCAUCAAGGCGAAGAUAAGUAGGCGGGCUGAGAGGGUGAACGGCCAAACUGGAACUGAGACACGGUCCAGACUCCUACGGGAGGCAGCAGUGGGGAAUCUUCCGCAAUGGGCGAAAGCCUGACGGAGCAACGCCGCGUGAGUGAAGACGGCCUUCGGGUUGUAAAGCUCUGUUAUACGGGAAGAAUAAUCUUGUGGUUAAUACCCAUGAGAAGUGACGGUACCGUAAGAGAAAGCCACGGCUAACUACGUG